ACGCUGGCGGAACGCUUUACACAUGCAAGUCGAACGGUAACGCGGAGAGAAGCUUGCUUCUCACCGGCGACGAGUGGCGAACGGGUGAGUAAUACAUCGGAACGUGUCCGCUCGUGGGGGACAACCAGCCGAAAGGUUGCUAAUACCGCAUGAGUUCUACGGAAGAAAGAGGGGGACCCGCAAGGGCCUCUCGCGAGCGGAGCGGCCGAUGACUGAUUAGCCGGUUGGUGAGGUAACGGCUCACCAAAGCAACGAUCAGUAGCUGGUCUGAGAGGACGACCAGCCACACUGGGACUGAGACACGGCCCAGACUCCUACGGGAGGCAGCAGUGGGGAAUUUUAGACAAUGGGCGCAAGCCUGAUCCAGCUAUUCCGCGUGUGGGAUGAAGGCCCUCGGGUUGUAAACCACUUUUGUAGAGAACGAAAAGACACCUUCGAAUAAAGGGUGUUGCUGACGGUACUCUAAGAAUAAGCACCGGCUAACUACGUGCCAGCAGCCGCGGUAAUACGUAGGGUGCGAGCGUUAAUCGGAAUUACUGGGCGUAAAGGGUGCGCAGGCGGUUGAGUAAGACAGAUGUGAAAUCCCCGAGCUUAACUCGGGAAUGGCAUAUGUGACUGCUCGACUAGAGUGUGUCAGAGGGAGGUGGAAUUCCACGUGUAGCAGUGAAAUGCGUAGAUAUGUGGAAGAACACCGAUGGCGAAGGCAGCCUCCUGGGACAUAACUGACGCUCAGGCACGAAAGCGUGGGGAGCAAACAGGAUUAGAUACCCUGGUAGUCCACGCCCUAAACGAUGUUAACUAGUUGUUGGGAAGUAAUAUUCUCAGUAACGCAGCCAACGCGAGAAGUUAACCGCCUGGGAAGUACGGUCGCAAGACUAAAACUCAAAGGAAUUGACGGAAGG
rnacentral:rRNA from 1 species